AUUGAACGCUGGCGGCAUGCUUUACACAUGCAAGUCGAACGGUAACAGGCCUUCGGGUGCUGACGAGUGGCGAACGGGUGAGUAAUGCAUCGGAACGUGCCCAGAGGUGGGGGAUAACGCAGCGAAAGCUGUGCUAAUACCGCAUGUGAUCUGAGGAUGAAAGCGGGGGACCAGGCAGCAAUGUUUGGCCUCGCGCCUUUGGAGCGGCCGAUGUCAGAUUAGGUAGUUGGUGGGGUAAAGGCCUACCAAGCCGACGAUCUGUAGCUGGCCUGAGAGGACGAACCGCCCCACUGGGACUUAGACACGGCCCCGACCCCUUCGGGAGGCAGCCGUGGGGGAUUUUUGGCAAUGGGCGGAAGCCUUACUCAGCAAAGCCGCGGGGGGGAAAGAGGCCUUCGGGUUUUAAAACCCUUUUUUUAGGGAAGAAAAAGUUUUUGGGUAAUUCCGGGGGUUGUGACGGUACCCGAUAAAAAAGCCACCGCUUACUACGUU
rnacentral:rRNA from 1 species